GCUGUUGCCUCACGGUGCUAUACAGAUCAAAAGCAGCUAGUUAAGUAUGCCUACAGAUUUUCAGACCUGCAUCUACAUCUCUCUGUGUAUUUGGGUGACACACGGCAUGCCUGAUGCUGAUCUCGAUUGCACCUUUUCUACAUUACCGUCAAACAAACAAUGAGGGAGCCGUGAGUGGAAUCCUCUGAGGUAUAGCUGUCUGCAUGCCAUCUCCCUGCUUGAGUUCUUCAGGUCGGGAAAAGCCUGCGAGAGCAAUCCUCCGCAGGAGCUUUUAUUUUAAAUUAAAGAUGCUACAAGACUAUUAUGUCAUGAGGCAUCCUGAAAAACACCCUUUCAGGAGAUCAGAUUGACACUUCCACCCUGCAAGUGCACAGUGCGACAGGCACACACAUCGCUAAUGUUUGUGUAGGCGCUGUGUAAGGUCCUCGAGGGCAGGCAGGGAGGCACCGCUUUGUUCUCUCACCUGCGCUGAAUAAAGAGAGUUGGUGAGCUGAUAAAUCCUGCCGCGGACCUUUGUUAAGCUUGGAAGAAAAACAACGCCAUGUGUUACAAAGCCCUACCCCCAUAGGUGAUAAGAAAAACUUUGUUUUGUUUUAAAUAGGGGUUGCUUUGUGCAUGGGCAUCUGCAUAAGGGGCUAGGCAGUGAUGAGGAGAGCCAGACGAGGAGAUUGACAGCUGUGUUUAGAGACCUGAAUGUCAGCGUCUUACUCUGGGCUUUUCUCCUGAGCCAUCCUCAGCAUCCAUCCAACACAGUCUAACUAAAGUGCCCUUGCUGGAAAAUUUAAGGCUGAUUUUUCUUUAUUGCCUGGGUGCCCAGCGGUCAAAGCAGAGUGCACUUCACUUAACAUCUCUAGGCAUGGAACCUGUAAAGAAACCUGGCCUUCUGUUUGCCCUCCACAGAAUCCACUUUUGGAAACAUAGGCUGUGUUCUGGAAUACCCUCUCUGGAGUUUGCUCUGAGUCCUGCAUGGAGCCCUGAAGUUGUGAGAAAACUGACAAGACUGCAUGUUCUUGCAUUUGGCCUCCAUAGCUGGAUCUUGGACACGAGGUGUAUCCCUGCGUCUGGAAUCCUGGUGCACCUUUUCCUACUGAAAGAGGAACUACAGGAUUGCUGCUUUGGGAAAGCCACCACUGCAAGGAGAAGGGAAGACCCCGAGGAGUAGCAAUGCAGAUGAUGGAAACAGAUCCACUUUACCGAGAAGAUGGAUGGAUAGCUACUAAUCUGGAUUUGACACCUGACUUAAUGGAGUGCCUGAACAGCUUGGACCAUCUUGGUGGCCUUCCAGAGGAAUCUCAACAAACCGUGUGGGCAUUGCCUGAAUGUUCUGGGCCUCUGUUGUGAGCACAAUGGAAGACAACAACCCUUUCCUAUCUCACAGAGACAUUGCAUUUGCAUUUGUAAUGUUUUCUACAAUGACAGAUAAGUAAUUAUCUAAGUAAGGGAAACUAGUUCCUAACAUAAGUGCAUGAAUCUUCUCAUUUGCUUUGACUCAUCUCUGGCUGGACUAACUCCAAUCACCAAUUGUAAUUCCUCCUCUCCUUAUAAAAUCAAUACUCCACUAAAUCAUUUCCUUUUUCAACUCCAAAGAGGAACAUUUGAUUGCACAAUGAUAUCUAUCUCAAAUCCAGGCAAUCUGUCACCCUGAAUGCCCAUAAAUUU